GUAAAUAAAAAGGAGAUAAAAGAAAAAGAAAGAUAGAAAAGAACAUAGAAGCUCACGAAACAGAGAAAGAAAGGAAAGGAAGAAAAAAAAAGGAAAAAAUUGGAGAAUUGAAGCUUGAAAGUUAAAUUGCAAACAGAGGAAUCGAGGCAUCCAAUACAAAGGGGAAAGAGAAAGUAGUCGAGGAAUAGCUCGGGGAAAAUUGAUUAGGUAAAAUAGAGUCCGAUUCUGCAUUCAAAAUCAUCUCCGACUCCAGCUCAUUUUGUUUUAAAAAACUUAUCUUUUGGUAAUGUGGCAUGUACUAGGUUUUAGGUGGUCAUUUGUAUAUAUUUAAUGUUUUGAAUGUAAAAGAUGGUGUAUAAACUUUAAGGAGUUUGACGUAUAAAGGGACGAUUCCUAAGUUUAUGAAA